CCUACGGGAGGCAGCAGUGGGGAAUUUUGGACAAUGGGCGAAAGCCUGAUCCAGCAAUGCCGCGUGUGGGAAGAAGGCCUUCGGGUUGUAAACCACUUUUGUACGGAACGAAACGGUCUGCCCUAAUACGGUGGGCUAAUGACGGUACCGUAAGAAUAAGCACCGGCUAACUACGUGCCAGCAGCCGCGGUAAUACGUAGGGUGCGAGCGUUAAUCGGAAUUACUGGGCGUAAAGCGUGCGCAGGCGGUUAUAUAAGACAGUUGUGAAAUCCCCGGGCUCAACCUGGGAAUUGCAUCUGUGACUGUAUAGCUAGAGUACGGUAGAGGGGGAUGGAAUUCCGCGUGUAGCAGUGAAAUGCGUAGAUAUGCGGAGGAACACCGAUGGCGAAGGCAAUCCCCUGGACCUGUACUGACGCUCAUGCACGAAAGCGUGGGGAGCAAACAGGAUUAGAUACCCUGGUAGUCCACGCCCUAAACGAUGUCAACUGGUUGUUGGGUGCAUUAGUACUCAGUAACGAAGCUAACGCGUGAAGUUGACCGCCUGGGGAGUACGGCCGCAAGGUUGAAACUCAAAUGAAUUGACGGCUGAGACGNGCGAGACGACGACGAGGGAGGAGG
rnacentral:rRNA from 1 species